rnacentral:rRNA from 1 species
UACGGAGGGUGCAAGCAUUAAUCGGAUUUAUUGGGCGUAAAGGGCGCGUAGGCUGGUACUUAAGUCGGAUGUGAAAGCCCGGGGCUCAACCCCGGAACGGCAUCUGAAACUAUGUACCUAGAGGGUAGGCGGAGAAAACGGAAUUCCACAAGUAGCGGUGAAAUGCGUAGAUAUGUGGAAGAACACCGGUGGCGAAGGCGGUUUUCUAGCUUACUCCUGACGCUGAGGCGCGAAAGCUAGGGGAGCAAACAGG